UAGCCUCACUGUGAAUAGCUAAUAACACCGUAGGUUAAAGGAUCAGUUACACCACUACAGCAUCAAAAAGAUCACUGACGAGUGAAUAGACAUCCAUAUGAUUUCUCAUGAUGGUCAUACUCAGUGCAAGUUAUUCUCAAUAAUCACCCACACCUUCAUCCCAGUGUCUCUACACUGUAGAUCUGAGACUCAUUUGCCCACA
rnacentral:lncRNA from 1 species